AUGGAUAGCUCUAAAUUAACGUUCUGUUGUUGGAACGUGCGGGGUCUAGGCACCAAAAAAUGUAAUGAUAUUCUAGCUGAACUCAUCUCAAUCAAACACGCCUGUUUCCUUCAAGAAACUAAGAUAACUACACCUGACUCUUCAAAAAUCAAAUCCAUUAUACCAAGAAAGCUAGAUCUCACCUUUCACAAAAACGCUGCCGGCUCAUUUGGGGGCCUACUUGCGGCCCUGUCAUCUGCAAACUUCUCUAACGCGUCGCAGACUCACUCUACCUUCCUCCAAUCCGGUACCCUCCACUCUCUAGCUACCCCUCUACCGCUCCUCAUCACUAACGUGUAUGCCCCUACUGACCACACCCUCAAACAAGAAUUUCUCAACGAUUUAACUACUGCUGCUCCACCCCCAAACCUCCCGUUGUUAGUAUGCGGUGACUUUAACCUAAUGAGAUAUGCUCAUGAUAAAAACAACGACUCCUUCCAUCAGAAUGAAGCCGACCUCUUUAAUCUUUGCAUUAAUAACAUUGCCCUCAUAGAGUUACCCCUUCUAGAUUGACGUUUCACCUAGUCGAAUAAGCGAGACAAGCCUACUCUAGAACAUCUCGAUCGAGUUUUCGUGAAUGAUGUGUGGGAUCAAAUUUUUCCGGACUCUUCUAUUUCAAGCUUAACUCGCUUUAUCUCAGACCAUGUGUAA
rnacentral:rRNA from 1 species